UACGAAGGGGGCUAGCGUUGUUCGGAAUCACUGGGCUUAAAGCGUGUGUAGGCGGGCCGUUAAGUAUCUUGUGAAAUCCCCCGGCUCAACCGGGGAAUGGCUGGAUAUACUGGCGGUCUUGAGCAGUCUAGGGGCAGAUGGAACAAGUGGUGGAGCGGUGAAAUGCGUAGAGAUCCGGAGGAACACCAAAGGCGAAGGCAGUGUCCUGGGGAGUACCUGACGCUCAGGUGCGAAAGCCAGGGGAGCGAACGGG
rnacentral:rRNA from 1 species